UGGAGACCUUCAGCAAUCCCUCUGGUCUACCAGCUGGCAAAUCGAAAGGCAGAUAUUGAGAAAUAUAGCAUCUAAAAGGUAAGCCUCCCUGCUUUGCAGAUCUAGAAGCUGAGACAUCAUGAAUUGGUUUCAUCAUGUUCCUCAGCGAAACACAGGCCACUGUGUCCCAGCCCAUUGCUCUCCUUGAAAUGAAAGGAAAAGUCAUGACAUUUUAAGAGAGAGGAGAAAUCAGUUUCAGUUGCCUCAGCUAUGAACAGAGGAUAACAGCAUGGAUGCAUUCCCCAGGUGUGCUUUGAAGAAUAAGCCAAUGACUGAAAAGCAAUUUGAAAAUGUAAACUGAAAUGCUAUAUAUAAAUGUUA
rnacentral:lncRNA from 1 species